CACUAGUGAUUGGUGUUCUUCCCGAUAUCUACACAUUCCACCGUUACACCGGGAAUUCCAGUCUCCCCUACCGCACUCAAGCCCGCCCGUACCCGGCGCGGAUCCACCGUUAAGCGAUGGACUUUCACACCGGACGCGACGAACCGCCUACGAGCCCUUUACGCCCAAUAAUUCCGGAUAACGCUUGCACCUACGUAUUACCGCGGCUGCUGGCACGUAGUUAGCCGGUGCUUAUUCGAAAGGUACACUCACCCGAAGGCUUGCUCCCGAUCAAAAGCGGUUUACAACCCGAAGGCCGUCAUCCCGCACGCGGCGUCGCUGCAUCAGGCUUGCGCCCAUUGUGCAAUAUUCCCCACUGCUGCCUCCCGUAGGAGUCUGGGCCGUAUCUCAGACCCAAUGUGGCCGGUCGCCCUCUCAGGCCGGCUACCCGUCGUAGGCUCGGUGGGCCGUUACCCCGCCGACUACCUGAUAGGACGCGACCCCAUCCCAUACCGAUGAAAUCUUUCCCGGAAGGACAUGCAUCCAACCGGAGCAUCCGGCAUUACCACCCGUUUCCAGGAGAAUCGAAUUC
rnacentral:rRNA from 1 species